rnacentral:rRNA from 1 species
AUUGAACGCUGGCGGCAGGCCUAACACAUGCAAGUCGAGCGGAUGAAGGGAGCUCUCUCCUGGAUUCAGCGGCGGACGGGCGAGUAAUGCCUAGGAAUCUGCCUGGUCGUGGGGGAUAACGUCCGUAAACGGGCGCUAAUACCGCACACGUCCUGAUGUUGAAAGUGGUGGAUCUUUGGACCUCACGCUAUCAGAUGACCCUAGGUCGGAUUAGCUAGUUGGUUGGGUAAAGGCCUACCAAGGCGACGAUCCGUAACUGGUCUGAGAGGAUGACCGGUCACACUGGAACUGAGACACGGUCCAGACUCCUACGGGAGGCAGCAGUGGGGAAUAUUGGACAAUGGGCGAAAGCCUGAUCCAGCCAUGCCGCGUGUGUGAAGAAGGUCUUCGGAUUGUAAAGCACUUUAAGUUGGGAGGAAGGGCAGUGAGUGAAUACCUUGCUGUCUUGACGGUACCAAAAGAAUAAGCACCGGCUAACUUCGUG